UGCGAGUCAUGGGGCGCCUUGCGCGCACCGGCGGACGGCUCAGUAACACGUCGGUAACCUACCCUCGGGAGGGGGAUAACCCCGGGAAACUGGGGCUAAUCCCCCAUAGGCCUGAGGUACUGGAAGGUCCUCAGGCCGAAAGGGGCUCUGCCCGCCCGAGGAUGGGCCGGCGGCUGAUUAGGUAGUUGGUGGGGUAACGGCCCACCAAGCCGAAGAUCGGUACGGGCCAUGAGAGUGGGAGCCCGGAGAUGGACACUGAGACACGGGUCCAGGCCCUACGGGGCGCAGCAGGCGCGAAACCUCCGCAAUGCGGGAAACCGCGACGGGGGGACCCCCAGUGCCGUGGCAACGCCACGGCUUUUCCGGAGUGUAAAAAGCUCCGGGAAUAAGGGCUGGGCAAGGCCGGUGGCAGCCGCCGCGGUAAUACCGGCGGCCCGAGUGGUGGCCGCUAUUAUUGG
rnacentral:rRNA from 1 species